ensembl:lncRNA novel transcript
GUGAAGUCGCGGCCAGGAGCGUGACCACGCUGGACCGUGUCUGCUGCCUCCCCGGGAGUCGCAAGUGCCCACAGGACAAGCAGGGGAAGCAAACUGGGCCCCUGGCUUCUGGGAAGACAGCAUGAGGGCAGACCAAGGAAAGGCAGCCGAGACCAGCAGACCUGCAAGGGAUCUCGGAGGCUCUCAGGCCCAGCUGCUUGCUGAAUAGCUGUGCACAUUGAGGCUGAAGAAGUAGAUGCCACGCAGGGGAGCAGCAAACUGGCCGGUCGCCAUGUCAAAGCACCCAUCAAGGUUCACAAAGACCCUUUCGAAGAGCAGCGUCUGGAAGUCCUCGCCGCUGUGCAGGGCCGUCUUGCGGCCCACUGAGAAGGCGAAGAAGCGCUUCUGGCACGGGGCGCCGGGGCUGCCCAUCUCCCCCUUGUCACCCUUGCUGCCCUGAGGGCCAGGCUCCCCUUGGGGACCCUCCCUGCCCAUGUACCCUGGCAGGCCCAUUGGGCCUGGGUCCCCUUUGUCACCUGUGGGGAUAAAAAGGGGACAAGUCAGGGUGGACAUCUGAGCCUGCUCCAAGGAGGUGCCCACACUCAUCUGUGACGGCUCUGCCCCUGUCCUGGCCCAGAGAAGAAGCCAGCA